rnacentral:rRNA from 1 species
CCUACGGGUGGCAGCAGUGAGGAAUAUUGGUCAAUGGGCGGAAGCCUGAACCAGCCAAGUCGCGUGAGGGAAUAAGGCCCUACUGGUCGUAAACCUCUUUUGCCGGGGAGCAAGGGCCGGGACGCGUCCCGGCCCGGAGAGUACCCGGAGAAAAAGCAUCGGCUAACUCCGUGCCAGCAGCCGCGGUAAUACGGAGGAUGCGAGCGUUAUCCGGAUUUACUGGGUGUAAAGGGAGCGUAGACGGUGCGCCAAGUCUGGAGUGAAAUGCCGCAGCUUAACUGCGGAACUGCUUUGGAAACUGGCGAACUAGAGUGCGGGAGGGGUAAGCGGAAUUCCUAGUGUAGCGGUGAAAUGCGUAGAUAUUAGGAGGAACACCGGUGGCGAAGGCGGCUUACUGGACCGUAACUGACGUUGAGGCUCGAAAGCGUGGGGAGCAAACAGGAUUAGAUACCCGGGUAGUC